GGCUUUGCGCAGUGGCAGUAUCGUAGCCAAUGAGGUUUAUCCGAGGCGCGAUUAUUGCUAAUUGAAAACUUUUCCUAAAAAAGGUGAAUUUAAUUGUAUGUAAAUUAUACUUCAAUAAACCUGACUGUAAUUCUUUUUU
ensembl:snRNA U4 U4 spliceosomal RNA